GAUGAAGAACGCAGCGAAAUGCGAUAAGUAGUGUGAAUUGCAGAAUUCAGUGAAUCAUCGAAUCUUUGAACGCACAUUGCGCCCUAUAGUAUUCUGUAGGGCAUGCAUGUUCGAGCGUCAUUUGUACCUUCAAGCUUUGCUUGGUGUUGGGUGUUUGUCCUCUCCCUGGUGUUUGGACUCGCCUUAAAACAAUUGGCAGCCAGUGUUUUGGUAUUGAAGCGCAGCACAAUUUGCGAUUCUGGCCUUAAAAUACUAGCGUCCAUAAGUACAUUCUCACUUUUGACCUCGGAUCAUGUAGGGAUACCCGCUGAACUUAAGCAUAUCAAUAACGGAGGA
rnacentral:misc_RNA from 1 species